rnacentral:rRNA from 1 species
GUUGACCUCGGAUCAGGUAGGAAUACCCGCUGAACUUAAGCAUAUCAUAUCAAUAAGCGGAGGAAAAGAAACCAACAGGGAUUGCCCUAGUAACGGCGAGUGAAGCGGCAACAGCUCAAAUUUGAAAUCUGGCUUUCGGGCCCGAGUUGUAAUUUGUAGAGGAUACUUUUGAUGCGGUGCCUUCCGAGUUCCCUGGAACGGGACGCCAUAGAGGGUGAGAGCCCCGUCUGGUUGGAUGCCAAAUCUCUGUAAAGUUCCUUCGACGAGUCGAGUAGUUUGGGAAUGCUGCUCUAAAUGGGAGGUAUAUGUCUUCUAAAGCUAAAUAUUGGCCAGAGACCGAUAGCGCACAAGUAGAGUGAUCGAAAGAUGAAAAGCACUUUGAAAAGAGAGUUAAAAAGUACGUGAAAUUGUUGAAAGGGAAGCGUUUAUGACCAGACUUGGGCUUGGUUAAUCAUCUGGGGUUCUCCCCAGUGCACUUUUCCAGUUCAGGCCAGCAUCAGUUUCCGCCGGGGGAUAAAGGCAGCGGGAAUGUGGCUCUCUUCGGGGAGUGUUAUAGCCCGCUGUGUAAUACCCUGGUGGGGACUGAGGUUCGCGCUUCUGCAAGGAUGCUGGCGUAAUGGUCAUCAACGACCCGUCUUGAAACACGGACCAAGGAGUCGUCUUCGUAUGCGAGUGUUCGGGUGUCAAACCCCUACGCGUAAUGAAAGUGAACGCAGGUGAGAGCUUCGGCGCAUCAUCGACCGAUCCUGAUGUUCUCGGAUGGAUUUGAGUAAGAGCAUACGGGGCCGGACCCGAAAGAAGGUGAACUAUGCCUGUAUAGGGUGAAGCCAGAGGAAACUCUGGUGGAGGCUCGCAGCGGUUCUGACGUGCAAAUCGAUCGUCAAAUAUGGGCAUGGGGGCGAAAGACUAAUCGAAC